rnacentral:lncRNA from 1 species
CCUCCAUUUUGUCAUCAGUAUCAACAUAUUAAAAUUUGAAAAGCUUAGAUUGAAUGGUUCAUGAGUAAAUGCAACAACCUGAAUGGAAAUGCCAUUUUACAAUCUUUCAAGAACCAUAACUCCUGAACAGUAAAAGUCAAAAUCGUCAUUAUUGAACUUGACCUCUAUUUUGUCAUCAGUAACAACAUAUUAAAAUUUCAAAAGCUUUGGUUGAAUGGUUCAUGAGAAAAUGCACAGACACGACGGGAAAAACCAUUUUUCAAUCUUUCAAGAACCUUAACUCCUGAACGGUAAAAGUCAAAAUCGUCAUUAUUGAACUUGACCUCCAUUUUGUCAUCAGUAACAGCAUAUUAAAAUUUCGGAAGCUUUGGUAGAACAGUUAAUGCAUAAAUGCACGGACAUGACUGGAAACUCCAUUUUUCAAUCUUUCAAGAACCAUAACUCCUGAACGGUAAAAGUCAAAUUCAUCAUUAUUGAACUUGACCUCCAUUCUUUCAUUAGUAACAACAUAUUAAAAUUUGGGAAGCUUUGGUAGAACAGUUCAUGCGUAAAUGCACGGACAACUCCAUUUUUCAAUCUUUCAAGAACCAUAACUCCUGAACGGUAAAAGUCAAAAUCGCCAUUAUUGAACUUGACCUUCGUAUAGUUGUCAGGAAUAACAUAUUAAAAUUUUAAAAGCUUUGUUGAACGGUUCAUGAGUUAAUGCACGGACAACAUUUGAUUGCCGCCCGCCCGCC